GCCUAACAUACACACUUAUUCUUAGAAAAUAAAGAAAAUCUUCACUGUUUAUAGUAUUUUAUAAAAAAUCUAUCUUACACAAAAACCGCAAGGGUUAACACUUAGCAUCUUAAAGAAAUGAUAACCCCGUGUCCCUUUUGCAUCAUGGAGAAGCAACAAAAACACAGUAAGCUGAGUUCCCGAAUGGCUAUGAGCUACUAAUCCUUAAAAAUCAAUGUUUCAUAAUUGAUAAAGUAACUUUUAGUAGAAGUAACAAGCCUUCCAUAUAGCCAUAUAGCUGGUUUUUCUUUAAAAGCAUCAAAGUGCUGCCUUAUAGCACAAAUAUUAAUACUACUAAUGCUAUAAAGUUUAACCUACUGAGGAUUAGCUCAGUAAGAAAGCUAAAAAUACUUCAUCAUCUUAACCUUUUAAGUAGGCUUAAAAACAGCCAUCCAACAACGUUCUAGUUAUCAAUCUCUUACCAAUUAACAUACAUAUACAACAUUUUAAAAUUAAAGAAAUUUGGCAUAAAACUCUACAUGCUAAUAAACAGGCAUUCUAUUAGUAUUUAACGUAAUCUAUCCAUCACAAACUUCAAAAAAUUUGAAUCACCAUCAUUUUACUCUCUAAACUAUACAAAGCAAACUCGGCAAAUAAAUUCCUUGCCUGUUUACCAAAAACAUCGUCUUUUGAAUCUCUCAAAUAAAAGAUAAUGCCUGCCCAGUGAAAAUUUUAAACGGCCGCGUUAGCGUGAGCGUGCUAAGGUAGCGUAAUAAUUAGCCUUUUAAUUGGAGGCCAGUGAAUGGCAAGACUAGGAAUAUCUGUACUUUGUAUACUAAAAAAACUUUUCUUCUAAGUGAAAAGACUUAGAUAACUAAGGAAGACGAAAAGACCCCGCGGAACUUUACCUUUUCUCACACUUCUGUCUACAAACUUAAAAGUCUAUAAGGUUUGAUUGGGGCAAUCUUGGAAUCACUAAAGCUUCCAGUUUUCUAUAAAACAAUAUCUAAAAUUUACUAAAGACCAAAAAGUAGUUACCCCGGGGAUAACAGCGUAAUCCAACUCAAGAGUACACAUCGAAAGUUGGGUUUGCGACCUCGAUGUUGGCUUAAGGAUAUCCACAUUAGUGCAACCGCUAUGACAGGAUAGUCUGUUCGACUAUUACACCCUUACACGAGCUGAGUUAAGACCGGCGCAAGCUAGGUUGGUUUCUAUCUCCUUUGUUUCCAAAAAUCUUCUUGAUUGUACGAAAGGACCCCAAAAGGUGCACUUAACACAAGCAUUUAUUAAGCUAAUUUAAUCAUUAU
rnacentral:rRNA from 1 species